GAUGAACGCUGGCGGCGUGCCUAAUACAUGCAAGUCGAGCGAACAGACGGUGAGCUUGCUCCUCUGACGUUAGCGGCGGACGGGUGAGUAACACGUGGAUAACCUACCUAUAAGACUGGGAUAACUUCGGGAAACCGGAGCUAAUACCGGAUAAUAUAUUGAACCGCAUGGUUCAAUAGUGAAAGACGGUUUUGCUGUCACUUAUAGAUGGAUCCGCGCCGCAUUAGCUAGUUGGUAAGGUAACGGCUUACCAAGGCAACGAUGCGUAGCCGACCUGAGAGGGUGAUCGGCCACACUGGAACUGAGACACGGUCCAGACUCCUACGGGAGGCAGCAGUAGGGAAUAUUCCGCAAUGGGCGAAAGCCUGACGGAGCAACGCCGCGUGAGUGAUGAAGGUCUUCGGAUCGUAAAACUCUGUUAUUAGGGAAGAACAACUGUGUAAGUAACUCUGCACGUCUUGACGGUACCUAAUCAGAAAGCCACGGCUAACUACGUG
rnacentral:rRNA from 1 species